AAUAAUAAAUUCAUCUGUAUACAACUUUCUCAGUCUAUCUGGCAUGAAAGUAAGGCCUACUGUGUGUGGUAUUAUGGAGACUGACCCUGCUGCAGCCAGUCUAGUACAGCAGGUCCACAGUGGGUCACAGGCUCUAAAUUCCGCACCUCCCCAUGGCCUUGAGUGCCCAGGGUCUCUUCCUGAUCUGUAUCCCUCUGUCAUAAGGCAAUCAUCAACUCUGUAUUUUUUUCUCCAUUUCUUUCAAGUUCUUUUAUUUCUUUGUGUUCAUACUCUCUGUAUGUCUCUUAUCCUCUUUGGGCCUCAGUGUAUUUCACAGUGGUUAAAAAUUUGGAUUUAAUUCUAUACAGAACUGAAAGUCAUUGAAGAGUUCGGAGCAGAUAUGCUCUGACUCAUAUUUUAAAAUCUCUCUUUGGUUGCUGUGUAAACAACAGACUGGAGAGAGGCCAAGAGCACAAGCAGAAAAACCAGCCAGGGUGCUAUUUCAGCAGUCUAGGUGGAGAGUCAUGGUGACUUGGACCCAUCCAACAGAGACGAAGACAACUAAAUGGAUUCAGGAUAUAUUCUAGAGAUAACGAGUCCUAACUCUUUGCCAAGGAUAUGGCAAAGACUCUGAUGGAAAAGGCAGUAAUGUGUACACAAAGGUGAACAUAAAUAAAUGUGUGUAUGAUAAACGCUGGGAAUGGACAUAGAAAAACGGGUAUGCAAUUGGACAGAGACGACGGGAGACAGAAGGAAAGAUACUUGCUCAGCUGUAUCUAAGUAAGUUCAUAGGAGUUUCAUGGUCUGAAAAAUCUGUGACAGUGGAAUUUCUACUAAGAAGCUUAAAAAAGUUUCACCUUCUCCUUGGACACUUCAGAAUAAGGCCUUCUUAGAAUAUAAUGCAUUAUAUCACAAAUAUACUUUUAUAUAAAAUAUUUGGGACCAAAACAAGAGUAAAGAACCAGGAUCCGAAAGGGUGAAUGCCUACUAAAUAUCUUUGAUUAUCUAAAGCUGUUUAAAAGCUAUUAGAUUGGCACCUGGAACCCCAAAAUAUCCACUUUUCACUGGGAAGGAGUGGCUGUGCCUCUUCAAUCAUCCCCUAAAUGCAAAGAAGUUUGACCCCCACGCAAUGGAUAAAAGUCACCCAAAAAAUGAACAAAAGAGGUGUUUGGAAAAACCAGAACACCAUUCAUCCCAGCUAACGACUUGUUCAUUAUGAGUGAUGAUGGAUAAAGACUUCUCAUGCUGAGAUGAAAUCAAGAUUUAUAUGCAUUGUUUCCUCUCCCAACUUGUGGGAAGAUCAUCAUCAUUUAAUUCUAUCUCUGCGGCCAGUGAUGGGCAUCCAGAGAGCUGGUUAUCAAACGGCGCAGUCAGCUGGCAAAAGCCGAAACGUGCAGUUGGCACAUCUGGACGGAGCCGCCACAGCCGAGGGUGAACAAUGACUCCUGGCAAGCAUCCAAAUUGCUUGCAGACGCUAGCAGGUCUCAUCUACAACCGCCCCUACCAGCAUCUCUCUCUCUCUCUCUUUUUUAUGAGAAUCAGAUUUUCAUUGCUCCAUUCAAUUGCUCUCCUCUGCCAUUUUUUACAGCUCUUAUCGUUCCCCUGGAAUAUGGCCUUGAGACAGCUCAUCCGUGUCCUUCACUGUGUUAUCUCUUCUAACUUUUAUUAAAACUUCAGCUUUCAUCUGAAGAUAGCUAAUUAAAUCUGGAACAGAUUAUAUGCCUCCCCUUAAAAAGAGCACAAAACUAUUUUCUUCAACCCCAGCAAUGCUUUUUUUCCUUUCCAAAAGAAUACAUAAAUCCAUUGUGGCACAAUGUAAUAUGUAUCACCAUGCUACACCUGCGGACGCUUCCGAGCGGCUGCCAUGUCUGUGCAGUCAGGAAUGAUAAGUGAACCACCCGUGAAUGUUAACGAUAGUGAUCAUUCUGAGCUUUUUCAGUCCAGCUGAGCAAUGUCCACCUAAACACUACCCCUCCUCUGCUAUAAAACAAAGUCGGAGAAGAAAAAUGUAGAAGUGGCAGAGAUCUACUCAGUAACCCAUUCAAGAAAUACGUGUGACAGAUCUAUCACAGUAAUGGAGUGAUGAUGGAGUCUCACUUUGUCGCCCAGGCUGGAGUGCAAUGGCGCG
rnacentral:lncRNA from 1 species